rnacentral:rRNA from 1 species
UACAGAGGUCCCGAGCGUUGUUCGGAUUCAUUGGGCGUAAAGGGUGCGUAGGUGGCGCCGUAAGUCGGGUGUGAAAUUUCGGAGCUUAACUCCGAAACUGCAUUCGAUACUGCGGUGCUUGAGGACUGGAGAGGAGACUGGAAUUCAUGGUGUAGCAGUGAAAUGCGUAGAGAUCAAGAGGAACACCUGCGGCGAAGGCGGGUUGCUGGGCCGACACUGACGCUGAAGCGCGAAAGCCAGGGGAGCGAACGGG